UAAAGAGCGCGUAGGCGGUCUGUCAAGUUGGGAGUGAAAGCCCGGGGCUCAACCUCGGAAUUGCUUUCAAAACUAGCAGACUAGAGUUCGGUAGGGGAUGGUGGAAUUCCUAGUGUAGAGGUGAAAUUCUUAGAUAUUAGGAGGAACACCAGUGGCGAAGGCGGCCAUCUGGGCCGAUACUGACGCUGAGGCGCGAAAGCGUGGGUAGCAAACAGGAUUAGAUACCCAGU
rnacentral:rRNA from 1 species